rnacentral:tRNA from 1 species
UCCCCGUUCGUCCAAUCGGCAGGACGCCAGAUUUUGGCUCUGGUAAUGGAGGUUCGAACCCUCCAUGGGGAGCCC